UGGGGAAUUUUGGACAAUGGGCGAAAGCCUGAUCCAGCAAUGCCGCGUGUGUGAAGAAGGCCUUCGGGUUGUAAAGCACUUUUGUCCGGAAAGAAAUCCUCUGGGUUAAUACCUCGGGGGGAUGACGGUACCGGAAGAAUAAGCACCGGCUAACUACGUGCCAGCAGCCGCGGUAAUACGUAGGGUGCAAGCGUUAAUCGGAAUUACUGGGCGUAAAGCGUGCGCAGGCGGUUUUGUAAGACGGAUGUGAAAUCCCCGGGCUUAACCUGGGGACUGCAUUCGUGACUGCAAGGCUAGAGUAUGGCAGAGGGGGGUAGAAUUCCACGUGUAGCAGUGAAAUGCGUAGAGAUGUGGAGGAAUACCGAUGGCGAAGGCAGCCCCCUGGGCCAAUACUGACGCUCAUGCACGAAAGCGUGGGGAGCAAACAGGAUUAGAUACCCUGGUAGUCCACGCCCUAAACGAUGUCAACUAGUUGUUGGGGAUUCAUUUCCUUAGUAACGUAGCUAACGCGUGAAGUUGACCGCCUGGGGAGUACGGUCGCAAGAUUAAAACUCAAAUGAAUUGACGGGGUCAUAGCUGUUUCCU
rnacentral:rRNA from 1 species